ensembl:lncRNA
GGGUGGGGUAGGGCUCCUCUUUGCUCCAGCACACUUUGGGAAAGGCACGAGGCUUUUUGCAGUUGGGGUUUGAACGUUUCCAAAUAUGCUGACUCUAUUCCUGUCCUGCCUCCCACGCUUCUCUCCUGGUCUCUCUGGCCCUGCUUUCUCUUUUUGGCCUGAGACCCCAGCUUGACAAGAUCCAGAAAAGUCUCCUUUCCGACAGCCAUUCUGCAGGAUUCCAGCAGGCCCCGCCUCCUGCCCCUGUUGCUAGGCAGAUUCCCCUGUUGCUAGGCCACCACUGCUUCUUCCCUGCCUCAGAAAGAGGCACAAAUUCCCGGUGACCCACUCAACCGUCUACCUAGCCAUAUGCUGACAAGACAAGUGGGUCCUAAACACCUACUAUAUGUGAACCCCCAUGCCCAGUGUAGACCAGUUCCAAAUGGGAGAAGAGGCAGCAAACUGGGGUGUCAGACACAGAGGUCUGACCCUCAGCCUUACAAGCUCUGAAAAGUCAUCUUACCUGCCACCAGAAACAGAACCUUGUCCUGGUAAUAAAAGCAUAUUCAUCAGGCUCGAAAGACCAAUGCCUAAAACCAGAAUGUGAAUUUAUUAAUUUAUAAUGAGAAGUCUGUCACAUGGAUCUAGGAUACUCCUGCAGGCAUCACCGUCUCUCUGAGGAGGCAGACUUUUCUGGAAACAAUGGCAUUGCUGAAGGAUAUUGGAGAGUUGCUAUGGAGCAUCAGUUUGCAUAGGAAAGGGAGUAUUUCUAUAUUUAUAUCUAUUUGAACGUUCUUACAAUUUGCUAGAUGUACUACAAAAUGCUAGAUGUUUUACAGAUGUCAUUUUAUUAAUUUCUCACAUCAGCCAUGAGAGGGAGCUACAAACAGUCAAACCCAUUUCACAGAAAGAAAGCAGUUCAGGUUAAAAUAACUGAGAUUAUCCAGCUAAUAGGUGACAGAACCAGGGUUUGAACCCCAAACUCACAGUUGGACUAAGAGAUCCCAGCUACCUGGCAAUGGUGAGAUGACAAAUUAGGUUGGAGGUGAGUUGGAUAAUGGACACUGAGAUGCUGAUGAAUCAACCAGAUGGAAAUUUCCUAUAAGCGAUGGAAUGUGUGGAAAUGGAACUCUGCUGAGCCUAGAUCUAGAGAUGGCAGAGAGUGGCAUCAACUAGCAUAUGCCUCACAUCUUCUGGAAGUGCUCUGAGAGAACAACUUCUAAGUUCUUAUUGAUAGUGGAGAAAUAUUUGUGCUUUUUCAGUCCACUGUAGUGAUAGAAUGCAGAAAGUUCAUUUGGGCUGGAUAGGCAUCUGAAUGGGGUAGGACGGGGCACCUGAGGGAAUUGCCAGGGCUGGGAGCUCAGAGGAAAAAGGCUCCUAAGAUAGUGGCUCCACCACUGUCUUGCCAGUCAGCCCCCAACUCAAGAGGCCCCGCACCUAACCAGACCAAGAGACCAAGAUCUUAACUUUAAGGAAAGGCAGAGGCAGCCUUGGGGAGAAGAUGGCAUUCAUUGAGUUCUCUGGAAGGGGCAGCCUGGAGCCUUUGUGAGGAGAAGGCGAGAGAAGAGUGCCUUCCUUGUCCAGGGGCCUGGUCAGGAGCCCCUACCACAGGGCGGAGCAGACAUGCCACACAACCCAGAUCAAGGCAGGGACUUGGGUGGCAGGUUCUGAGAGCAACUAAGAGCUCAAUCUGGCAUGGCGUUGGUGUUAACCUCUAUCUCUG